rnacentral:rRNA from 1 species
GACGAACGCUGGCGGCGUGCUUAACACAUGCAAGUCGAACGCUGAAGCUUGGUGCUUGCUCUGGGUGGGUGAGUGGCGAACGGGUGAGUAAUACGUGAGUAACCUGCCCUUGACUCUGGGAUAAGCCUGGGAAACUGGGUCCAAUACUGGAUACGACAUGUCACCGCAUGGUUCUGUGUGGAAAGGGGUUUUCUGGUUUUGGAUGGGCUCACUGCCUAUCAGCUUGUUGGGGUGGUAAUGGCACACCAAGGCGACGACGGGUAGCCGGCCUGAGAGGGUGACCGGCGACACUAGUACUGAGACACGGACCAGACUGCUACGGGAGGCAGCAGUGGGGAGUAUUGCACAAUGGGCCGAAGCCUGAUACAGAGGCGUCGCGUGAGGGAUGACGGCCUUCGGGUUGUAAACCUCUUUCAGAACGGAAGAAGCGAAAGUGACGGUACGUGAAGAAGAAGCGCCGGCUAACUACGUG